GAUGAACGCUAGCGGCAGGCCUAAUACAUGCAAGCCGAACGGCAAGUUGAGUAGCAAUACUUGACCUAGAGUGGCGUAAGGGUGCGUAACACGUAUGCAAUCUGCCCGCAACAGGAGGAUAGCUCCCCGAAAGGGGAAUUAAUACUCCAUAAGAUCACGAGAGGGCAUCUGAUUGUGAUUAAACUACAAGGGGUUGCGGAUGAGCAUGCGGUUGAUUAGCUAGUUGGUAAGGUAACGGCUUACCAAGGCGAUGAUCAAUAGGGGAACUGA
rnacentral:rRNA from 1 species